GCUAAAAGCAUUUACCUGACUGAAUUUGGAUGUGUGGAUGAUUUUCAGGUGAGGGGACUGACAAGGCUGAAGAAACAGACUCCUGAAGAAGAGAAAAGGGCGAGGCUGAGACAUGUGGCAAAACAGCGAAAGUGGGCCAUGGAGACACUGGUGGUCCAGGCAAAGAAGAAAAAAUGAGAUCUGGUUCUGAGAGUAUUACGAACUGUAAUGUAAAUUGUUAUCUUUGCCAAUAAAAUGUAUUAAAAUCUGAAUUACAUAACAUUGUAUUGGCUGUUAAUCAUGAUGGAAGAGUA